rnacentral:rRNA from 1 species
AAAUUGAAGAGUUUGAUCAUGGCUCAGAUUGAACGCUGGCGGCAGGCCUAACACAUGCAAGUCGAGCGGAAACGAGUUGUCAGAACCUUCGGGGAACGAUAACGGCGUCGAGCGGCGGACGGGUGAGUAAUGCCUAGGAAAUUGCCCUGAUGUGGGGGAUAACCAUUGGAAACGAUGGCUAAUACCGCAUGAUGCCUACGGGCCAAAGAGGGGGACCUUCGGGCCUCUCGCGUCAGGAUAUGCCUAGGUGGGAUUAGCUAGUUGGUGAGGUAAGGGCUCACCAAGGCGACGAUCCCUAGCUGGUCUGAGAGGAUGA